rnacentral:lncRNA from 1 species
GGUAUACACGUGACCAGUGGCUGGGACUCAGGAAGAAAGAGGUGGAGUGGAACUGUAGGGAAGGGAAUUAGAGAGAUAAGCAAGAAUCAAUUCCUUCUAGAGUGCGAGAGACCAUGUUUAAUUUCAAGACGAGACUGUAACGUGGAACAAGAAGUCAUCCGAUUUACAGUUUAAGCUGACCGAUCUUACUGCGUAGGGGCAGAAGCUUCAGGGAACCCAUCGCCGCCUCUGACCUCCGAGGGCACCAGGCAUUCGAGUGGUGUGCGGACAAGACACCCAUGUAGACCAAAGCAACUUACGGGAGGAAGGGUAUAAUUCCAGGAACCUCAGGGAUUGCGGUUCAGUUCACUCGCAGACCGAGGGCUUACAGUGCCUGGCCUGUUCCCGGGACUAGAGCAUUCCACAGAGUCAACUGAUACCUGCAGAUGCAAAACACCAUCUCUGCACUCCGCGCCACCCUUUCUCCACUGAGAACUGCAGGAUGGGUAGUCAGAAGCCAUGGGAUGGUUGGCUCCAAGGUCCCCAGCUACGCAGCGCACUGAACAGCACUUCUCUCUGUGGGGCUUUAAGCCCAAAAAGGCUGCUUGUGACUGCACACUGUUUAUGUUCAUAUCACAUCAUUUUUUUAUUUCUUGGAAUAACUGCACUGAAAGUCUCAUUACCAUCAAGACUCUGAUGAGAACGAAAACAAAACCAUCUCAGCCACAUACAAGGAGUUAACACGAGUCAACACGUUACCUCUGCUUCCUUAAAACGUCUGCGUACUUUUUUAUCUCCCACUGAACAAGAUACAGCAGCUCAGUAUAACUGAGUAGAGUUAUAUAUUCAGGCAGCUUCCGACACUGUAAGAGUAUAUUUUUACAGCUAAAGGGAAUGGCCAUCAAAGAGCAACACUCUCCGUUUUCCAGUCCUUCCCAAGAGAAAGAGCAUCAUGCUGACUGGCUCAGGGAAGUGUGGUACAAAAAAAUAAAGUAAAACAAGGAAGCAAACAGUGGCAGAUCAGCCCAUCUGCUAAGCCAUUAGGACUGCGAUGAGAUAAAUAUAAUUUAGACAGGUACCCCCAGCAUGUACUUUGAGAUAUUGUAACUAUCCAACUUUUUUUUUUUUUGAGGGAUGGGGGGUGUCUCACUGUGUAGUCCUGCCAUCCUAGAACUCACUAUGUAGUUCAGUCUGGUCAGGAACUCACAAAAACCCUCCUGCCUCCACAUCCCAAGUGCUAGGAUAGAUUAAAGGUGUAUGCUUUUCAAACCCAGGCUUGCAACUGCUCUUUGAGUAGAGGGAAGCGACUUGAAUCCAGGUCUCCACUUAGCCACACCUACUUCCGUCUUUGUUUUCCCAGCGUUCACUUAAUGCUGGACGCACUAAUGGAUGAGGAUGGUUAACAUUUGACAGGAUCGCCUCUCAGCAUUUUUAAGAUACACAAGUGUCUGGAGAGCCGCCUCUCCAGCCUGUCCUUCUCAGAGGCGGGGAACAGCUUCACCCCUAGGCAUCAACACUCAAGCAGAAAGGCCUUCACAGUGGACCACAGAAAAGUGCUCACCAGGAAGUGCCCCUCCCACCCCCACGGAACGCGGCUCCUUUUCCUGUCCUAGAAAGGUGAUGGCCAACGGCCUGUCUGGACUGUGUGAGAAUUGACGCAGUGGGAACGGAGCUUAAAUUCUACUAUGCUACAGUGGGAGUCUCAUGACCCAGGAGUCAUAUGUAAAAAAGAAUAUGCACUGUUUCCCAGACUACCUGUGUGUAAGUCUUAACUCUCAGGAGGAUUUUCCAAGCGCAAAGGGUUAAGGAGCACUAUGACAGUAAUUUUUCUGAGCUGUCUGAUCACUGCCGGUCACCUGUCAUAAAGCCAAAGGGACAACACAUGUCUGAGUUAAUCUGUUUGUUCUUAUAAAGCAUUCGAGAUUAUUCCUAAGAAGCAACUUAAUGAAAAAGAACGCCUACGGUCGGAAGUUCCAAGAGCCAGCAUGAUGGGUAAGGCCAAUUUCUGGAGUCUUUGUGAGGGAAGGCAGGAAAACCCAGAUAACAAAAUAAAUAAGAACCUCCAAUACCAACAGUGGCAGCAUAUGACCAGGGUGUCCAGCUCAAACAAGAACGAGCUGCUUCCAAGGCGGCCGUGCUUAGGAACAUACAGAAUCCAGCAAAUGCUUCUCCUUUGGAGAAACCAAGCACAACUUGGUUACAGCUUACAGCCUCCACUGCCCCUAUCUCUAGUGAAAAGCUCCCUUUUCCAUCCCUCACAGGACGCAGCAUGGGGGGCCCAGCUCUGCCCUCCUCGCUCAUCCAUACAUCUUUCUAUCAAGGCUCGGGAUGAAAACCUGGAGUAGGGAGCAGAGCCGUCACAAAUUGUGUGACAUAGCUUCAAGGUCCCUGAAUAUCCUAUUUUUUGACUCUGACAAGACAGGAGUCAAAAAGUCAAAUUGAGAAGCCGGUGACACCAUCUCUGCUCUCAGGGCACAUCUGAGUCUAAUGGCUUUGCCACUUGAACCUUCCUUCCAAGUUGACUGCAA